CUGAGUGUGCUGGCGGCUGCGUCGGGCUGCAGGAGAAGAUGGUGGUCUCCACAGGAGUUAAAGUUCCUCGUAAUUUUCGCUUGUUGGAAGAACUUGAAGAAGGACAAAAAGGAGUAGGCAAUGGUACGGUUAGCUGGGGCCUAGAAGAUGAUGAAGAUAUGACACUUACAAGGUGGACAGGCAUGAUUAUUGGGCCACCAAGGACAAAUUAUGAAAACAGAAUAUACAGCUUGAAAGUAAAAUGUGGAUCUAAAUACCCAGAAGCUCCUCCAUCAGUUAGAUUUGUAACAAAAAUUAAUAUGAAUGGAAUAAAUAAUUCCAGUAAUGGCAAAAUUCAUAUAGCAUUAAAGUUGUACUUCAAGAGCUAAGACGUCUAAUGAUGUCCAAAGAAAUAUGAAGAAGUUCCACAGCCACCAGAAGGACAAACAUACAACAAUUAAUUUUAGUGGAUCUCAAACUUGUCUUAAAUCAACAACCUUCUACUCAUGUUAAUGUCUUGAUUAAAUAUCACAAUGCAAAAUACCCACACAUUAAGUAA